rnacentral:tRNA from 1 species
GCCGGGGUGGCGGAACUGGCAGACGCAAUGGACUCAAAAUCCAUUGGGCUGCAAGGCCCGUGUGGGUUCGACUCCCACCCCCGGCACCA